rnacentral:rRNA from 1 species
UACGGAGGGUGCAAGCGUUCUCCGGAUUCACUGGGUUUAAAGGGUGCGUAGGAGGGCAGGUAAGUCAGUGGUGAAAUCUCCGGGCUUAACCCGGAAACUGCCGUUGAUACUAUUUGUCUUGAAUACCGUGGAGGUGAGCGGAAUAUGUCAUGUAGCGGUGAAAUGCUUAGAUAUGACAUAGAACACCAAUUGCGAAGGCAGCUCACUACACGGUCAUUGACUCUGAGGCACGAAAGCGUGGGGAUCAAACAGG